rnacentral:lncRNA from 1 species
AAUAUCUGAAAAAAAAUAUAAUUUUGUAAAAAUUGGAUUAAUUUGAAUUUUGGUAUUUUGUAAUAGCUAAGGAAAGUCUGAAUGACAUGGAUGUUUGUUUGAUACACUGAUCUUGACUUGUAUAUCUUCUUUCUCAUUUGGUUUAAAUAUUUUUCAUCUGUAAAAUAAGAGUCAACUUUAAAUAUUUUUCACAUUUUCUUUAAAUAUUUUUCACCGAUAUUAAAAU